rnacentral:rRNA from 1 species
GUACGUAAGUUGUUGCAGUUAAAAAGCUCGUAGUUGGAUCUCAGGCUUGUGGCCGGUGGUCCGCUCGAUACGGGUGUGCACUGCCGUGUCCGGCCUACGUCUGGUCUAACGUCCAUAGUGCCCUUAACCGGGUGCUAUGGAAUGCCAGAAAGUUUACUCUGAAAAAAUUAGAGUGCUCAAAGCAAGCCGUUUGUGCUUGAAUACUGUUGCAUGGAAUAAUGGAAUAGGACCUCGGUUCUAUUUUGUUGGUUUUCGGAGUCGAGGUAAUGAUUAAGAGGGACAGACGGGGGCAUUCGUAUUGCGCCGUUAGAGGUGAAAUUCUUGGAUCGGCGCAAGACGAACAACUGCGAAAGCAUUUGCCAAGGAUGUUUUCAUUAAUCAAGAACGAAAGUCAGAGGUUCGAAGACGAUCAGAUACCGUCGUAGUUCUGACCAUAAACGAUGCCAACUGGCGAUCCGCCGCAGUCUGGCUUAAAGGACUCGGCGGGCAGCCUCCGGGAAACCUAAGUCUAUGGGUUCCGGGGGAAGUAUGGUUGCAAAGCUGAAACUUAAAGGAAUUGACGGAAGGGCACCACCAGGAGUGGAGCCUGCGGCUUAAUUUGACUCAACACGGGAAAACUCACCCGGCCAGGACACCGUA